GUCGACCUCGAGUGGAGGGAGAUGACCCGCCUAAUUUAAGCAUAUAAUCAGCGGAGGAAAAGAAACCAACCGGGAUUUCCCUGAGUAAGUGCGACCGAAACGGGAAGAGCCCAGCGCAAAGCCUCGCGUCCCCUUCGCGGGGGGCUCGAGGGGUGCUGCGUUCGGGAGAGGUCCUGCACGCGCUCCCGAGCCGCCUAACUUGUUCAUGAAUGACUCUCAUACCCAGGGAGGGUGUCAGGCCCCGUGUGGCGGAAAGAGACUUCUCCUCCUCGUUCGCGGGGAGGGGGGUUUCGGGAGUGCGGAACGGGCCUCUCCUUAGAGUCGGGUUGCCUGAAACCGCAACCUAAAGCAGGUGUAAACUCCAUCUAAGGCUAAAUAUGACCAAGAGACCGAUAGCGAACAAUAACAAGUACGUGAGGGAAAGUUGAAACAGAACCUGUAGAGAGAGUUCAAGAGAACGUGAAACCGUUAAGAGGCUAAACGGGCGGAGAUUCGAAGAUCGAACUGGGGGGAUUCAGUUCGUCGGCCUGCCGGGAGACGGUAGCGGGCGUGUUGCGACUUCCCGUUCCGGAGGCCUCGUGCCGAAGGAGCCUUGAGUGGGGAGCGCCGCCCGCCGCCUGCCCGGCGCCGGCGGGCGAUCUUCCCCCCGCAGUAGGUCGCCGCGACGCGUUGGGAUGAUGGGCGUCUGAGGCCCGGGUCCUGGUAGGAACCGGCGGCGCGUUCGGCCCUUCCUUGCUCGACUCGUCGGGCGGGGUUGGUCGUUUUCCAGCGCCGCCCGUCCGGGGAUCCCCCGGUGCCUCGUCUUGCUCCCCCGACGGUCUCUCCUCCGGGGCCGUCCGAGAUCGGGGGUGGGGUCCGAGGCCGCGGUCGAGCCUAGCCUCCUCCUUUCGGGGGGGUCGUCUGGCUUCCCGCGCUUCCCCUUCCCCCACUCGGUCCUUGUGCUGGCCCUCGCGGCGUGCAAAGAGUCGGUACUCCUCCCGACCCGUCUUGAAACACGGACCAAGGNAGUCCAACAUGUAUGCGANUCAAUGGGCGCACUAAACCCACGGGCGCAAUGAAAGUGAUCGGGCCGAUCCCACGGANCANCGGGCGGCCGCNCGCACCCGGACGGAGUGACCGACUUUCCUCCCCGGGACGGCGCGGGUCCCCUCCCGCUCCCGCACGCCCGCGCCCGCCUUCACCGGCGGGCCGGGGGGGCGCAGGUCCGGGACUCGCCAUGACGAACGGUCGCAUCUCCGCUUCGCGGCGGUAGGCCGCGGCGAUGUGUCGGCGGGUACCCAGAGCAUAGAUGUUGGGACCCGAAAGAUAGUGAACUAUGCUUGGCCAGGAUGAAGCCAGGGGAAACCCUGGUGGAGGUCCGAAGCGUUUCUGACGUGCAAAUCGAUCGCCAGAGCUGAGUAUAGGGGCGAAAGACCAAUCGAACUAUCUAGUAGCUGGUUCCCUCCGAAGUUUCCCUCAGGAUAGCUGGCACUCGCAUCGAACGAGUUCCAUCCGGUAAAGCGAAUGACUAGGGGUGUUGGGGACGAAAUGUCCUCAGCCCAUUCUCAAACUUUAAAUGGGUGAGGUGCCGGGCUUGCUUCGCUGAAGCCCCGGACGAGAAUCGGAGUGCCUAGUGGGCCAAUUUUGGUAAGCAGAACUGGCGCAUGUNAGAUGAACCAAACGUCGAGUUAAGGGCCUAAAUGGAUGCUAAUUCCGAUCCCAUGGAAGGGAGUUGCUUGCUAUAGACAGCAGGACGGUGGCCAUGGAAGUUGGAAUCCGCUAAGGAGUGUGUAACAACUCACCUGCCGAAGCAAGUAACCCCGAAAAUGGCAUGGCGCUCAAGCAUCCUCCCGAUACUCGACCGCCGGGCGCACUAUGGGCUGCGUCGAGGAGGUCUCGAGGCCCCGGCGAGUAGGAGGGCGCGGUGGUGAGCGUAGAAGGAUACGGCGCGAGCCGGUCUGGAGCCGCCACUGGUGCGGAUCUUGGUGGUAGUAGCAAAUGCUCGAGCAAGCCGAACCCUCGUUGACCGAAGCGGAGGAGGGUUCCCCGCCAACAUCGCUUGGUCGUGGAUAAGUCGGCCCUUAGCCCGAGGAUAGCUUCCCUCCGAUNCCCCUGGAAAACGCCACAAUAGAGCACAGCCNGAAAGACUCCCUGUUUUGGAGAGAGAGAGAGAGAGGAGAGAGAUUGGGGGCCCUAGGCGGCGGCACGAGCCCGCCCUCCCCCCUUCUUCCCCUUGCUGCCGCUUUGCGGCAGCGGUAAAGGGGGAGGAGGAGGUGGAGGAGGAGGCUUGUCGGCGCCGGAGGAGGAGGCGGCAGCAGCAGCAGCCUCUUCCGGUGUCUUGGCUUGGCCGUCCGUCGACGGCCGGUCACGCCCCCGGGGACACCCCUUCCUCCUGAAAGCCUCCUCUCGCAGCAAUUUGUCUGGAUCCAAAACGAACAAAAAAGGAGAAAGAGAAAAAAGAAAGAAAGCCAAAAGAAACGGUCCAGUCAGAUUUCGGGCUAAAGGGAAUACGGUUAAAAUCCCGUGACCUGCCCUGUGGCAAAGACAGACCCGUGCGUGGGAAAGACAAUGUUUUGUCGUGCGCGUGGCCGUCUUGACCAUUGCCGGCGGCAUGGGCGGCGGCGGCGGCGGAUGAUUCUGCGGCCGCUGCUGCUGCUGCCGUCGCGCGGUCACGACGAUCCUCCUCCCGCCCCCCCCUUCUGUGAGAGGGCUUUCUCUGAAGAGAGUGGGAGUCGACGACCCCCCCCCCCUCCUGCCCCCCCUUCCCCUCCCCCCGCGGGGUAGGCGGAAACGGCGGCGGCGGGGGCGGCGGCUGCNGCGGACAACNACCACCGCUCUCUUGCCGACCUCUCCGGUCUCGCCCGCUUGCGGGCUUGGANACCCCCUAACCGUGACGGUGUGUACUACNAUCUCCCUUCGCUCUCGGANUAAGCGCCUCCUCCUCUUCCUCCUCGGAAAACCGGCGUGGAAAAGAAUCUCCCCCUGCCUCCUCCCACCCUGCUUGUUGUGGUCGGGUCGGGUCGGUCGAGGGGUUUGACGAUUGGCUUCCACCGCCACGGCUUCCGGGAGAGCUUUGAGAAGAGAAAGAAAGAGCAAAAGAGAGUGCGCGGGCGCGCUGGCAGCCAGCCCCCCUUUGAAUCUCGAAUCUUAGAUCCGGUGGUCCGGAGGCCAGUGUGUGUGCUUGGCAACAGGCGUACUCGUUCGCCGACGCCGGCGGUAGCCCGGGGAAGAGCUUUCUUCUCUUUUUUAGGCUGCUGGAGGCCCAAGUUCGUUCACUUUGAGUGGGGGUCGUUGGCCGUAACAGCCAUACGUGAGAUUGUGAUCUGUUGGGAGCAAUCCUCGCUGUUGCGAUCGCCACCGGUUCGCCGUAGAGCACCGCGCAAAUAAGCGCUUGGUGUCCCGUGCGCUACCGCNGGCCCUUGAAAAGGUGGAUAGGGUAAACCCCCUCCGGUACCAACCAACCAACCAAACCAAGAGAGAGAAAAAACGAAAACGAUGAUGAUGAGGGGGGCGGCGGCAUUGUGCGCGGCUCCGCAAUGCGCUUCUCGCUUUGCUCGUCGAACGCUCCAGGCCGAAAGGAGAGCGAUCCCUGUGGGGUGGAGGUCGANAGGACACGCGCCGCCGCCGCAGGGGCGGUGGUGGUUAUUUAAAACCUUUAAAACCUAGGCAGGUCUUCUAGCAGAGAACGGGCCCUCGGGUAGUUUUCUUGAGAUGCCAACCCAGCACGCCCGCGUCGCGGGGGGGCAGUCCGUACCUUACUCCGCAGCAGGUCUCCAAGGUGUUCAGCCUCUGGUCGAUAGAUCAAUGUAGGUAAGGGAAGUCGGCAAGUUAGAUCCGUAACUUCGGGACAAGGAUUGGCUCUGAGGGUCGAGCCAUGCCGGGCCCACAGCCGGAAGCGGUCCCUCGUUCUCCUGGCGGGCGGCCGCCGGCGACGCGCGGAGGCGGCGGCGAGGAGGGGACCCAAGGGUGCCCGCGGCAUCGGCGGCCUGCGGCGCCGCGGCGCUUCGGCCCGCUCCGAGGGAGAAGGACUGGGCGAGGGGCGGCCUCUCACGAGGUCGCUCCGAGCUCGGACCCGACCCCGCAGGGGCGGUCGCCGGGCCCGCGGCCAGCUCUGCGCUCCACCGCCGCCGGGUGCCCUCACAUCCGCUCGAGCCGCGCAGCCCGAGAGCAGCCGGAAGCAGGUGCCCCCGCCGUCACCAACGCGGAAGGCGCCUCUCGGGCAAAGGCCGGGGUUUCCCUCCCGUUUCCCCGGCCGCGGCUGGCAACAGACGGCCGUCUCAGAACUGGCACGGACCAGGGGAAUCCGACUGUUUAAUUAAAACAAAGCAAUGCGAUGGUCGGUGAUCGAUGCUGACGCAUUGUGAUUUCUGCCCAGUGUCUCUGAAUGUCAAAGUUAAGAGAUACAACCAAGCGCGGGUAAAUGCGGGAGUAACUAUGACUCUCUUAAGGUAGCCAGAUGCCUCGUCAUCUAAUUAGUGACGCGCAUGAAUGGAUUAACGANAUUCCCACUGUCCCUACCUACUAUCUAGCGAACCCACAGGCAGGGGAACGGGCCUGCAGUUAACGGCGGGGAAAGAAGACCCUGUUGAGCUUGACUCUAGUUUGGCUUUGUANANAGGCACCUGAGGUGUANCAUAAGUGGGAGGUCGCUCACGCGGCCGACGACGAAAUACCACUACUCUGGUCGUCUCUCUACUAUUUCGGUGAUGCGGGAGCGGGAGGCGUGACGGGGUUCGGGUCCCGCGAGCGGGGCGGAGCGCGGCUUCGGUCGUGUCUCUCCCCCUCCGGCCCGUCUUCCCUAUGCCUCUACCGAUUUUAGACUGCAAGUGACAUGAACAAGAGCGGCCGCCUCCCCGGGGGGCGAAAGGGGGGUUGUUAACCACUUUGGCGGGCGAACCCCCCCGGCCGCGGCACUUCGUCGCGACCCGUGCCGAGGGAAAACCAUAUGGGGAAUUUAACAGGCGCAGAACAUCUGUAAAACGAUAACGGAGAUGUCCCAACCGGCGGCUCACACGUGGAAGAGAAAACCACGCUGCUAUAACCCAAGGGGCAAACCACUGGCGGGAUCCGCGACUCUCAAUACCGAGCACGGACUGCGAAAGCACGGCCUAGCGAUCCUUUUGACUUUUACGAGUUUUAAGCGAGAGGUGUCAGAAAAGUUACCACAGGGAUAACUGGCUUGUGGCGGCCAAGCGUUCAUAGCGACGUCGCUUUUUGAUCCUUCGAUGUCGGCUCUUCCUAUCAUUGUGAAGCAGUUUUCACCAAGCGUAGGAUUGUUCACCCUUAAUAGGAACGUGAGCUGGGUUUAGACCGUCGCGAGACAGGUUAGUUUUACCCUACCGUUAACAACGUCGCCACGUCGCGACAGGAGCCCCGCCCAGUACGAGAGGAACGGUGGGUCCGGACCAAUGGUGCACCUCCUGCCCGACAGGCCACCAGGGGAGGGCAGCCACGUCCGGCAGGUUUUACCCCUGAAAGCCUCUCAAGGGGGAAACCGCGCUGAGCGUUAAGCGACGUGAUCGCGUGCGGCGCAACGGAUCGGCGAGUUUACUAGACUGAAGAGUUUAGACGCGAACCCGGCGAGAGCCAAGGGGGGCGGACUGUGCCCAUGCAAGGGGAAGUCACGCGGCUGUUUCUGACGGUCGAAGGGGGUCGAGGCCCAGUCGACGGCCCGCCAAACCGCUCCCUCCCAAGGGGGGCGUGGCCGCCGCCCCCCGGAGCUUGAAGGGGGCUCCCUUUGGACACCAGCUUCUUCGAUACAGAGCAAACCAAGUCCGGUGUGCCGUACCGAACCGUCUGCAUACGACUGACAUAUCGGCUGGGGUGUUGUACCGGUUAGAG
rnacentral:rRNA from 1 species